UCCAUGAAUGGACCUUAGGUUAAAUUUUAUUAUGUGAUUAAUUAAAUUAAAUGUGAGAGACAUUUAAUUUAAUUAAUUAAUGUUAAGUUUGGUGAUUAAAACUUAAGAAGAGUGAAAAAGGUGUCAAAAGCCAAUUUGGACUUUUCUUCUUAUGAAACAUUUAUUAACCUUUAUUAAAAAUAAAAAAAAAUGAAAUGAUCAUAUAUGGCAAAGGGUUGGCCGGCCAUGUGGUGUUUUAGGUGGUGUGAACCCAACUUAAUAAAGAUAAAAUCCCAUUUUAAUUAAAAAGUCAAGUGGGCAAGUGGGAGUAAAACACUUGAGUGUUUUUUUUGAGAUAAAUUAGAUACCAUAAACUCUUCUAACCCCCCUAAGGAACUGACCACUCUCCCUCUCUCAUUCACUAUCAUCUUUUUUUGAAGACCUCUCAAAGUGUUCUCUCCAUUUUUCAAGCCCAAGAACACCAAGGAAACUUUGAGGCUAAGUCUUGGUCUAGGAAGUAUUUUCCCUAAGUUUGUUAGGGUUUUUGAAAGGUUUUGAAGGAGUCAAAGCUUAUAGGAAGGUCCAACCCUUAAGCAAGAACACCAAAGAGUAUUGGCUAAGCGUAACUGGACUGAACGUUGGAGGGUGAAAACCUGCUGAGCGCUAAGGACUCCAAGUAAGAGCAAGGGCAAGGCAGAGCAGUGAGCGCUGGAGUCUUCCUUGCAAAUGUACAUGUGGACCGACCUUUUGGGAAGCCUUUUUAUUUUUGGAAAUGUUGUGAAAUUUUCCUAAACUAGGCUCACUCUAAUCUUUAUAAAACAUGUUUGUAACUAAAUGUUA